AUGGCUGAUUGCAACGAGACACCGGAAACCUGGAUUCCGGCCGGGUGCAGUGCAGACGACGCAUGCGUGGCAUGGGUUUCCGAUGAGCUUUGGCAAGCGGAGGGGAAGGGGGCGCGGGCUCCAUAUAUGUCCAGUCCAUGGCGUGUUUGUCGCGGUUCAUGUGGACUCGCCAUGCGCAUCGCCCUUCCAGUGUCUCUACUCUCCCACCGUCUCUCUCAGCUCUGUUCUGAGAGUUCUGACUCCUCCCCAUGUGAUGUGAGCACUAGCAGCAGCAUGGCAAAAGUGACGUGCAGCGGUAAACCCUGAAAAAGGCUGGGCGCAUCUCGAGGAGGAAGAAGAGGCUGCUGCCUGCCUGGGAAGGCUGGUGAAAGGUGCAAAGCUACAGCGCCCGGAGGAUGGCGAGCCUUUUUUCAGAGGUAGUAGUAUGGUGGCGAUCGGCAAAGGUUGGUGGUUCUCGGGAGAUAAUAAUCUGACAGCACGGUAACAGUAAUCCAGCAGCCAACUCUCGGCAUUCUCCGGUCUGUACUCUAUCUGUCUCUUCAAAGGGUUGGGCCUUCAAAGCCCAUUGAAGCUCAGCCCAUGAACAACAAGUCCUGGAGCAUCCGCUUCCAAGUUCCAACUGCCUAGCACUUGAAGAUGAGGUAUUGGUUGCCAGGACAGUAUGGAUGGUAAUAGAUCACGAUCUAAAUGUCUCUUCACAAUUUAUUUAAGUCCAUAAUCAAUUAUGGUUCAAAAUAAAUACAAAUAGAGUCUAAUUCUAAUCUGAUCUUUAAAUUUUGUUGUGUAAAACUUAGAGCCCAUUACCACCCAUAGAGCGAGGAGGAUUAACAAGUCUGUUAAAAAGAACACAUGAGAAAUUCUGUUAGCAAUAGGUAUUGCACUACCGCUUAGGUGUCCGACAUUACGGUGUCACGGUGCUGUCAAGCUCAGAGCGACACUGUCGUAUAUAAACGGACUUUUUCAAGGGUAAAUUAAAAAUAUUUGUCAAUGAAAGGUAGAUCGAGUAAAUUACUAGCUUUCUAGGCCAUGAUGAUGAGAUAUUGUCUAUAUAUCCGUACUUGCUUAGGGAUUUGACUAUAUCCUUGGUUUAGUCAAUUGGAAUACUAAUGAUUUAUUAUCUGACAUGCUUAGGGAUUUUUUUUUUUGACUGAGCACUCCGUUUUCGUAUAGGGAUUUGCUUAUCUUCUUCACUGUUGAGAGAACCGACAAUUACUUUAAAUGUGUGUUCCAGAGUUCGAGGAAAAAAAUGUGUGUUCCAGACUAUCAUGUUACUGAGGGCCUAUUAGUUUCCAGAAGUUUGUGAAAAGCUGCUAACAGAAGCAGCAUGGGAUGGCCACCAAAGACGAAAUAUCUUAUUGAAUACGAAUACGAAGGAGAUUUCUCUUCCAUAGAUCUUCUUUAAUUCUCUGUCCACUAAACCAGGCUCGAGUCAAUUUUAAGUGUUUCUAUCUAUGCUUGUCCUGUCCAUGCCCAUCCUAGUAUCAGAGAUUAAUAACUAGCGUCAUUUAUAUACUUGUACCUAGGACGGUGACCUUGUUGGAUAGUGACAUUUUUUUAGCUGCUAAUUUAUGUACUAGUAGCAAUGGUACUAGCAUGAUUUACCUAUAUAAUCGAGGUUAGGAAGCGUGGCUGGUUUGCUGUGAUAGUGCUACCACCUUGAACAAUUUCAGUUGCAUAGGUAUGAUCAUACAUGGAUACAUUUUUUAUAAAUUGAUCCACAAUUUCAGUUGCAUGAUGAUCAUACAUAGUUAUAUAUCACCAUUUGAUUAUCAUAGUAGCGUUAUCACAAGCAAUAUAUAUAUAAUUAGUGUCAGAUAGUUUUUAAUCUGUUUUUAUAAUAAACUUAUCUAGAGAUAAAUAUAUUGCUAUUUUUAUAUAAAUUUGGCUAGAUUUAAGAAAAAUUUAAUCGGUACGAGUACGUAGUGAUAACUAUUUACUUUUGAGAGAAAGGGAAUGCUACUUUUCUGAUUGAUCCUUGUGAACUGAUUCAAUGCUUGGAGGCCCACUUAGCGAGCUGGUUUGAUCUCUCUGCUGGUGAAGUGGCGAUACAAAUGAUGUUCUCUUUGACUCUGGUCACUGUCAUGGGCUGCUCCUGCUUUGUAGUAAAGGCAUGUUGUUUGUUUAUCUCUACAGAGAACAAAUAUGUUCUCCUUUUGCUUGCUGACAUCUAUCCUUGCUUCCGUUACUUGCUGGACAGGCACGCAAACUUUCAGGCAGAACGAGCGUUGGUCUCAGCUUAAAAGAGCUUUUGGCCUGGGAAUUCACCUGCUCCUCGCUCGUGGAUCCGAGGGGCCUCUACAUCCAAAGUUACACACAGUGGUCUGAUGUAUCCCGUAUUUAAUUUUGAUACAGAGAAAAUCGAAAUUAGUUUUGAAAAUUGAAAAUC